rnacentral:rRNA from 1 species
GACGAACGCUGGCGGCGUGCCUAAUACAUGCAAGUCGAACGCAGUGGGGACGGGUGAGUAACACGUGGGUAACCUCCCAUCAGAGGGGAUAACACUUGGAAACAGGUGCUAAACCGAGACUGAUGGAUGUACCCGCGGUGCAGUAGCUAGUGGGUGAGGGAACGGCUCACCAAGGCCACGAUGCAUACCCGACCGGAGAGGGUGAUCAGACACACUGGGACUGAGAAACGGCCCAGACUCCUACGGGAGGCAGCAGUGGGGAAUCGUCGGCAAGGGGCGAAAGUCUGACCGAGCCACGCCGCGUGAGUGAAGAAGGUUUUCGGAUCGUAAAUCUCUUUUGUUAGAGAAGCGGUAUCUAAACAGUAAGCCACGGCUAACUACGUGCCAGCAGCCGCGGUAAUUC